CAGCCGCCGCGGUAAUACGUAGGGUGCAAGCGUUAAUCGGAAUUACUGGGCGUAAAGCGUGCGCAGGCGGUUUGUUAAGACAGAUGUGAAAUCCCCGGGCUCAACCUGGGAACUGCAUUUGUGACUGGCAAGCUAGAGUAUGGCAGAGGGGGGUGGAAUUCCGCGUGUAGCAGUGAAAUGCGUAGAUAUGCGGAGGAACACCGAUGGCGAAGGCAGCCCCCUGGGCCAAUACUGACGCUCAUGCACGAAAGCGUGGGGAGCAAACAGGAUUAGAGACCCCUGUAGUCCCUGUCUCUUAUAU
rnacentral:rRNA from 1 species